rnacentral:rRNA from 1 species
GAUGAACGCUAGCGGGAGGCCUAAUACAUGCAAGUCGAACGGUAAAUGGUAGCAAUACUAUGAGAGUGGCGUACGGGUGCGUAACGCGUACACAACCUGCCUUGUACUGGGGGAUAGCCUCGGGAAACUGAGAUUAAUACCCCAUAAUUUUACGAUGUGGCAUCACAUUGUAAUUAAAGCUCCGGCGGUACAAGAUGGGUGUGCGUCCGAUUAGGUAGUUGGUGAGGUAACGGCUCACCAAGCCGACGAUCGGUAGCGAGUCUGAGAGGACGGUCAGCCAAACGGGCACUGAGACACGGGCCCGACUCCUACGGGAGGCAGCAGUAGGGAAUAUUGGACAAUGGACGCAAGUCUGAUCCAGCCAUCCCGCGUGAAGGAUUAAGGCCCUCUGGGUUGUAAACUUCUUUUCUUUGGGAAUAAAAAGCGGUAUUCAUAUCGCCUUGAAGGUACCAGGGGAAUAAGCACCGGCUAACUCCGUGCCAGCCGCCGCGGUAA